rnacentral:rRNA from 1 species
ACGUACACUCCUGCGGGAGGCAGCAGUGGGGAAUAUUGGACAAUGGGCGCAAGCCUGAUCCAGCCAUGCCGCGUGAGUGAUGAAGGCCCUAGGGUUGUAAAGCUCUUUCACCGGUGAAGAUAAUGACGGUAACCGGAGAAGAAGCCCCGGCUAACUUCGUGCCAGCAGCCGCGGUAAUACGAAGGGGGCUAGCGUUGUUCGGAUUUACUGGGCGUAAAGCGCACGUAGGCGGACUAUUAAGUCAGGGGUGAAAUCCCGGGGAUCAACCCCGGAACUGCCUUUGGUACUGGUAGUCUUGAGUUCGAGAGAGGUGAGUGGAAUUCCGAGGGUAGAGGUGAAAUUCGUAGAUAUUCGGAGGAACACCAGUGGCGAAGGCGGCUCACUGGCUCGAUACUGACGCUGAGGUGCGAAAGCGUGGGGAGCAAACAGGAUUAGAAACCCUAGUAGUCCCAUGA